UUAGACCUCAAAUCAGGUAG
rnacentral:rRNA from 2 species